UUUGAUCCUGGCUCAGGAUGAACGCUAGCGGCAGGCCUAACACAUGCAAGUCGAACGGUAACAGGAAAUAGCUUGCUAUUUUGCUGACGAGUGGCGCACGGGUGCGUAACGCGUAUACAAUCUACCUUUUGCUGAGGGAUAGCCCAGAGAAAUUUGGAUUAAUACCUCAUGGUAUUAUUGAUAGGCAUCUAUUAAUAAUUAAAGGUUACGGCAAAAGAUGAGUAUGCGUCCCAUUAGCUAGUUGGUGAAGUAACGGUUCACCAAGGCAACGAUGGGUAGGGGUCCUGAGAGGGAGAUCCCCCACACUGGUACUGAGACACGGACCAGACUCCUACGGGAGGCAGCAGUGAGGAAUAUUGGACAAUGGGCGAGAGCCUGAUCCAGCCAUGCCGCGUGCAGGAAGACUGCCCUAUGGGUUGUAAACUGCUUUUAUACAGGAAGAAUAAGCCUUACGUGUAAGGUGAUGACGGUACUGUAAGAAUAAGGACCGGCUAACUCCGUGCCAGCAGCCGCGGUAAUA
rnacentral:rRNA from 1 species